rnacentral:rRNA from 1 species
UACGUAGGGGGGCUAGCGUUGUCCGGAUUUAUUGGGCGUAAAGAGCGUGUAGGCGGCCAGGUAGGUCUGCUGUGAAAACUCGAGGCUCAACCUCGAGACGUCGGCGGAAACCAUCUGGCUAGAGUCCGGAAGAGGAGAGUGGAAUUCCUGGUGUAGCGGUGAAAUGCGCAGAUAUCAGGAAGAACACCCGUGGCGAAGGCGGCUUUCUGGACGAUUUACUUGACGCUGAGACGCGAAAGCGUGGGAGCAAACAGG